rnacentral:rRNA from 1 species
UACGUAGGCAGCAAGCGUUGUUCGGAGUUACUGGGCGUAAAGGGUGUGUAGGCGGUUGUUUAAGUUUGGUGUGAAAUCUCCCGGCUCAACUGGGAGGGUGCGCCGAAUACUGAAUGACUAGAGUGCGGGGAGAGGAAAGUGGAAAUUCCUGGUGUAGCGGUGAAAAUGCGUAGAUAUCAGGAGGAACACCGGUGGUGUAGACGGCUUUCUGGACCGUAACUGACGCUGAGACACGAAAGCGUGGGUAGCAAAACAGG